GGUCAAUCCAACCAUGGUCAACCCAACCAUGGUCAACCCAACCAUGGUCAACCCAUCACGGUCAAUCCAACCAUGGUCAACGCAACCAUGGUCAACCCAACCAUGGUCAACCCAUCAUGGUCAACCCAACCAUGGUCAACCCAUCAUGGUCAAUCCAACCACGGUCAACCCAUUGUGGUCAAUCCAACCAUGGUCAACCCAAUCAUGGUCAACCCAAUCAUGGUCAACCCAAAUGUGGUCAAUCCAACCAUGGUCAGUCCGAGCAUGGUCAAUCCAACCAUGGUCAACCCAAUCGUGGUCAACCCAACCACGGUCAACUCAACCAUGGUCAAGCCAAUCAUGGUCAACCCAACCAUGGUCAACUCAUCAUGGUCAACCCAACUGUGGUCAACCCAUCCCCGUCAACUUGACCAUGGCCAACCCAUCAUGGUCAAUCCAACAGUGGUCAAUACAACAUGGUCAACUCAUCAUUGUCAACUUGACCAUGGUCAACCCAGUCUUGGUCAGCUCAUGACAGUGAGGACAUCAUGGUCCACCUGAUCAUGUUCAACCCAUCCUGAUCAACCCAACCAUGGUCAACCUAACUGUGGUCAAUCCAUCCCUGUCAACUUGACCAUGGUCAACCUAUCUUGGUCAGUCCAAGCAUGGUCAAUUAAUUAUUGUCAAUGCUACCAUGGUCACCUCAUCGUGGUCAACCCAACCAUGGUCACCUCAUUGUGGUCAACCCAUCAUGGUCAAUCCAACUGUGGUCAAUAUAACAUGGUCAACUCAUCAUGGUCAACUCGAUCAUGGUCAACCUAACCAUGGUCAGUCCAAGCAUGGUCAAUUCAUUAUGGUCAAUGCGACUAUGGUCACCUCAUCAUGGUCAACACAUCAUGAUCAGCUCAUCAUGGUCCACCUGAUCAUGGUCAACCCAUCAUGGUCAACCCAUCAUGGUCAACCCAUCAUUGUCAACUUGACCAGGGUCAACCCACCAUGGUCAACCCAACCACAGUCAACCCAACCAUGGUCAACUCAUGAUGGUCAACCCAUCAUGGUCCACCUGAUCAUGGUCAACCCAACUAUGGUCAACCAAACUAUGGUCAACCCAUGAUGGUCAACCCACCAUGGUCAACCCAUCAUGGUCCACCUGAUCAGGGUCAAUCCAACACAGUCAAUUCAACCAUGGUCAACCCAACCAUGAUCAACCCAACCAUGGUCAACUCAUGAUGGUCAACCCAUCAUGGUCCAUCUAAUCAAAGUCAACCCAACUAUGGUCAACCCACCACGGUCAACCCAUCACAGUCCACCUGAUCAGGGUCAACCCAACAGAGUCAAUCUGAGCAUGGUCAAUGCAACCAUGGUCAACCCGACCGUGGUCAACUCAUGAUGGUCAACCCAUCAUGGUCCACCUGAUCAAGGUCAACCCAUCAUGACCAACCCAACCAUGGUCAACCCAACCAGGGUCAACCCAUCAUAGUCCAAGAAUGGUCAAUUCAUUAUGAACAAUGCAACCAUGGUCACCUCAUCAUGGU
rnacentral:lncRNA from 1 species